UUUGGAGGACUCUAACCUUGAUUUUCCAGCUUUGAGCUCCCUCUGGAAGCGCAGCAGCAAAACACUAUCAAGAAACUGCCUCCUGGCUAACAUUCUCAGCAAACCCUCAUGGCUAUUUACGGAAAUGAGCAGCCCAACAAAGCAAGAGAGAUCAUGAUUCACAGAUCGUUUACACAGACCCGGAGACCAACACGUCUUUGGACUGAAAAAGAGGAGCAAUCUGCAGCCUCCAGCCUCACCCAGUUGUGUUAUCAAUCGCACUUACAAAGCCACCACGAACACUGGCAGGAGGCUGACAAUGGAAAGUAAUAGCAGGAAAAAUGGAUUUUUCUCAACAGGUUGAAUACACUGCCAAAAUCCCUUUGCAAUCCACCUGCAGUCUGCAGACUUGCUGUUACAGAGAAGCUGAAGCUAAAUAACCAAAGGUGGACUUUAUAUGCUAAAAAUAAAACAGCCCAUAAGACAAAAAAACA
rnacentral:lncRNA from 1 species